CACCACGCUUUUCAAUAACUUAAUUCAGCAUCGUACCCUCAGAAAGAGAAUGAUGUGGCCUGUAAACUUUACAGAUCUCAACCCAAUUGAGUAUCUUCGGGACCAGCAAAAGCGGUAUGUCUAUCGCCAGUUCAAAGAAUACUGCACGAGGGCUGACUUGGCUCAAUUGUUGCAGGAGAAAUGGAUGGCUAUAUCUCAACAGCAUGUGACUCCUCAACAUGAGGAGACGAUGUCUUGAGGUAAUCCAGCAGCGUGGUGUUUACACC